rnacentral:rRNA from 1 species
CAGUAGCCGCGGGAAUACGGAGGAUCCAAGCGUUAUCCGGAAUCAUUGGGUUUAAAGGGUCCGUAGGCGGUCUUGUAAGUCAGUGGUGAAAGCCCAUCGCUCAACGGUGGAACGGCCAUUGAUACUGCAGGACUUGAAUUAUUGGGAAGUAACUAGAAUAUGUAGUGUAGCGGUGAAAUGCUUAGAGAUUACAUGGAAUACCAAUUGCGAAGGCAGGUUACUACCAAUUGAUUGACGCUGAUGGACGAAAGCGUGGGUAGCGAACAGGAUUAGAGACCCGUGUAGUCCCUGUCUCUUAUAC